rnacentral:rRNA from 1 species
UACGGAGGGUGCAAACGUUGCUCGGAAUCAUUGGGCGUAAAGAGCUCGUAGGCGGUUCGGUAAGUCGGGUGUGAAAACUUUGGGCUCAACCCAAAGACUGCACUCGAUACUGCUGUGACUUGAGUCCGGUAGGGGAGUGGGGAAUUCCUGGUGUAGCGGUGGAAUGCGCAGAUAUCAGGAGGAACACCGGUGGCGAAGGCGCCACUCUGGGCCGGUACUGACGCUGAGGAGCGAAAGCGUGGGGAGCGAACAGG